rnacentral:rRNA from 1 species
GGCGGCGUGCCUAACACAUGCAAGUCGAGCGAGAAACUCAUGACCAAUACUCGGUGCGUGAUUGAGCGGAAGCGGCGGACGGGUGAGUAACGCGUAGGCAACCUGCCCCUUGCAGACGGGAUAGCCUCGGGAAACCGGGAUUAAAACCUCAUAAUGCGUAACGGAGACAUCUCCGAUACGCCAAAGAUUUAUCGGCAAGGGAUGGGCCUGCGUCUGAUUAGUUAGUUGGUGGGGUAACGGCCUACCAAGGCAGCGAUCAGUAGCCGACCUGAGAGGGUGAUCGGCCACAUUGGAACUGAGACACGGUCCAAACUCCUACGGGAGGCAGCAGUGGGGAAUAUUGCACAAUGGGCGAAAGCCUGAAUGCAGCAACGCCGCGUGAAGGAUGAAGGCCCUUGGGUCGUAAACUUCUGUUCUAAGGGAAGAUAAUGGCGGUACCUUAGGAGCAAGUCCCGGCUAACUACGUGCCAGCCGCUGC